UUUUGUCAUCUCUUGUCAUGUCUGUUGUCUUGUCUCUGUUCCUGUUUUGUGUCUUUUAUUUAAUCAACCAGUUUAUUUUACACUAUCCUGCAUUUGGGUCUGUUUUAUCAUCGCAUUGCUGACAGUUAAUGCAAGUUGCAAAAAUAAUAUAGCAUGAUUUAGUCCAGCAGGUUUCAAAGCUAAAUUUGCCGGCUGAGAACCAGUGAAAAAGCGUGGAACGGGUCAAGAUUAGACACCUGCUCCAGCUCUGUGUCAAAGGGAAAGGAAUUAGAAUGAGGGAUAAGUUCAGGACAAGCUGUAAGUGAAAUAUGGCAUCAUGCAGACUCAUUCAGGUAACCACAUGGUCUCCACAUGGACCUAGAACCUGAUGCAAAACCUUGCAUUGUCCUCUGAGUUCUGAGUUGUUUGUUCUGGACAGCAUUGACGUGUAUGACCUUUCUUGCCUCGCCCUGUCUUUGCUUUUGCAUAGCCCUUUGGAUUUGAUAAUAUAUCUGAUUUCUAUUAUUCUGAUCAUGCCCUGUUCUGUGAUUACAUUUUUUGAUUAUGUUUGGGAUUGGAAAUUUCCAGAACUUUAUUAAUGAAUGUUUUGUCCCUGCCAUUGCUAUUGAUAAAUCUUAAGCAAAGGGAUCCAUAUAACAUGUCUAAUAGCCUUUUGGUCCAAACGGCUUUGACUUGGAUUGUAGAUGUGUCUCCUUUUCUCAAAAGUGUCUCUAUUGCCUGGGGGGUCAGCUGGUUGGAAUUCUUGCUUGGCAUCUCUAGCAAAUUUCCUCAACAUUGGUAGAAAUCAUCUGGGUGUGUGUUCUUGGUGAAUCCUUUAACAUUCGAAUACUCAACCAAACAUCUGUCAUGUUUGAUAUGGAAUUACCAGAAGUCUUCACCUAUCCAGAAUCUGGGCAAGAUGCUAAAGAGAGACUUUCACUAAACCAAGAUACACCAUCCACAGCAGAUAAUCUUUUGUACUUUGGCUGCAGAAAGCAAAUGGAUUUAGUGGCUAUUAACACCCUUUUUCAGACAAGGCCUAAAAAAAAAACUCCAAUCUGAGUUGGCAUACAGGAAUGACUCAUUCUCUUUCAGUCUGCUCAGAGUCUGGAAACCUUGUCAAAAUUCCCUCUCCAGUCCCAGAAACCCAACCAUAAUGGUAGACACAGAAUCCAGGAGCAUCAUAAGAGAUUCUGUUGUUGUAUUGCUGGAAUAAAGGGCAACUUGCACUCCGAGGGCUUAAAACAAUACAUGUAAUCAGGUGAGCCAAUCGAAAAUAAACAUAAUACUCUUCCCAUAAAGCUUUCAUGGUGUUCCGAGUCCCAUGUGUUUCCCUGCACUAGGUUACUCUGGGGCAGCUGGUAAUUUCAUGGAUGAAACUAUGGCUCAAUUACCUUAUAUCCCUCUUGUCCCUCUCAAAGGCUACUUGACAGCACCCCUUCAGAAGUUUAAAAAAAUCGAAAAUGCA